GUGCUCUCUUUGGCAGUACAUAUACUAAAAUUGGAAUGAGAUAGAGAAGAUUAGCAUGGCCCAUGUGCAAGGAUGACAUGCAAAUUUGUAAAGUGGUCCAUAUUUAA